AGAGCUCAUUCGGAAGAGCGCUUGGAUUUUAAGCAUGUGGUCGUGGGUUCAACACCCACA
rnacentral:ncRNA from 14 species